rnacentral:lncRNA from 1 species
AGGGCAGGGGACCAGAGAUGAAUCAACUCCAGCCCGGGAGCUCACCGUCCAGCAGGGGAGAUAAGGCAGAUGGAAAAGUAACUAUAAAAUAAGGCAGACGGUGAUAAGAGUUAAGCUGGUUGUGGACAAAGACAAAUGUUCCAGUGAGGUCUCCCUUGAAGAAUCCAGACUCUGGGUGGGGGAGGCAGGUAGGCCGGGGUGUUUGGAGAGGCACCCAGCCCACACUUCAGAGGGAGGGAGAGGAGUGCAGGAUGUCUCUGCAGGAGCAAGUCGGUGGAAAGGGGACAAGCCUGGAGGACUUGCCUUGAAAUGACAUUUGCACCGCGCGCACUAUGUUCACCUGGAGUGGCCGUUUGGGAUUUCUUGCGGGGAGACAGUGCACACUGGGGCGGGGGACACUGAACUUUCCCUCUCCCCAAGGCCCCCCGAUCAGCCCUGCCAC